GAUCGACACUCUUCAACACCGUAUCCAUGCGUAUUCUCCAAUCUCGCGCGCACGGACGGGCGCCGUCAGGCUUGACGAAAUCCCGGAAGAGACCGAUGAUCUCGAAUCAGUCCGUAAUGGGACUGUAUCUAAUCGGACCCAAACUUUAAAUCAAGUCCUAUUUGGGACUUUUGAGAACCCCUAUGGACAUCAACAUGGACGCAAACAAUCGGACACAAACGACAGAGCAGCCCCAAGGGGCCCCCCCAUCA
rnacentral:misc_RNA from 1 species